rnacentral:rRNA from 1 species
GACGAACCGUCCAAACGUUAUUCGGAAUUACUGGGCUUAAAGGGUGCGUAGGCGGCGCGGAAAGUUGGGUGUGAAAUCCCUCGGCUCAACCGAGGAACAGCGCUCAAAACUACCGUGCUCGAGGGAGAUAGAGGUGAGCGGAACUUAGGGUGGAGCGGUGAAAUGCGUUGAUAUCCUAAGGAACACCGGUGGCGAAAGCGGCUCACUGGAUCUCUUCUGACGCUGAGGCAUGAAAGCUAGGGUAGCAAACGGG